GAUCGAUGGCUAUGAUCUUCGAUCAACAAUAGUAACUAGAUUUCGGGUCGGUGCAUAAAAUCCGUCUCGUCAAAUAACAGCGCACUUGAAAUGUGAGCUCUUAUUUUGUUUAGUUCACUUCAAACACAGCCAAUGUCAACCCGUCUCACAAUACCGCAGUGUGUAUUCAAAAGUUGCAAAAAUAAGGCCCGAAAAAGCAAUUUAACGGCCGGAGUAUCUUACUUUCUCUUUCCUAGCAAUCACGUGUGCAGAAUAGAUCUCGAUUGUCGCCAGAGAAACAAGAGAUGACUUUUAUAAGCCAGCUAAGAACUCCGCUUAUUGACACUGGACAUCUUUGCCUUCCGUGCUCACGGCUACUGAAAUGUGGCCGAAACAUUGUAAUAAAAAUACCACGCUUGAAACCGUUUAAACGUUGUUUUAUUAUGUGCACUGGUCGCGAAAACUUAAAAAUAUAUAUUACACAAAAACGUAACGCUAAUAAAAUAAUAAGUAAUGUAUAGAUACUAACAAACAUACAUUUCCAAAACAUAAAAAGUAAACAACUAAACUUUUACUUUAAUUCAUUAAUAAAUUAUUUUAGUGUUAGGCGCGACUCCCUUACCUCCUGUAGUAAAUAGAAAUCGGCAUUUCAAGAAGCAAAAAUAAAUAAAGCAAAACGAUGUUCGUUCUCAGAGCAAUUAAGGGAAAAGUUACUUUAUUUGUUGCACUUUAAGAUUGAUUUAACAUUAAAAGUUGUUUAAAAUAUGUCUUUUUAUUGGUAAGUGACAGGAGUAAUUUAUUGCUUUGCUCGUUUUAUGUGACGAAUGAUCGUAAGUAUUAGAUAAUGUUUUGGAGAUUUGUGACUUUAUUACUAGGUGCCAUAGUUGUUAUUAGUUUGAAAGUAAAAGUGUUUCAAAACUUUUUUCUCCGUUUGUUAGUAAACGAAUGUAGCUAUAUAAGUAUAUAUUCACGCGGACAGUUUUUGCUUUAAUUUUGUACGUAUCCCUUUAUCUAGUUACUAUUGUUGAUCGAAGGCUAUGAUACAAUAAUUUCACUCUUAAUACCCUGACCAGUAUGUACAGAAUAAAAAGUAAAAUAAAAUUAAUUUUUAGUUCAAUUUACUAUUUUGUUGCAGGUUUUUUAGUAAAAUACAUACAUUUAAUAAGUGUGCCGUGAAACAUUGCUCUAAUAUUCAUUAUUUAAAUGGACGUUGUAUUACAGCUUAAUAUUAUUGACUGCUAGACGGAUUUCGGCUAGGAGCUCACGACUUACUGCUCACCUUUUAUUAUAUGAAGUCGUCGUGGCCUGACGGAUAAGACGUCCGGUGCAUUCGUGUUGUACGAUGCACCGGUGUUCGAAUCUCAGGCGGGUACCAAUUUUUCUAAUGAAAUACGUACUCAAUAAAUGUUCGCGAUUGAUUUCCAUGGUGAAGGAAUAACAUCGUGUAAUAAAAAUGAAACGCGCAAAAUUAUAAUUUGCGUAAUUACUGGUGGUAGGACCUCUUGUGAGGCCGCGCGGGUAGGUACCACCGCCCUGCCUAUUUCUACCGUGAAGCACUAAUGUGUUUCGGUUUGAAUGAAGGGUGGGGCAGCCGUUGUAACUAUACUUGAGACCUUAGAACUUAUAUCUCAAGGUGGGUGGCGCAUAUACGUUGUGGAUGUCAAUGGGCUCCAGUAACCACUUAACACCGGGUGGGCUGUGAGAUCGUCCACCCAUCUAAGCAAUAAAAAAAAGAAAAAUAUAGCUACCGAAACCUAUGGACAUGACGAUAUAAAUGCCAAACAUCACCUAUAAGUGAGACACGUAUCAAUCCUCACUGUAUUACUAUAACCGCUAUCUGACCUGUUAAAACGAAACGACUGCUUCUUUGCAGGAAUGGACCAGCAUGACUGCUAUAUGUUCAUAAUACACCACACAUCGGAUUCAAAAAUUAUAUUAAUAGCAAAAUAUAAAGCUUACACGAAGACCGUGCCUUUACUCAUUCAGAAUGUAACUCAAUCCAAACAAAGCCUUUUAACAUAAUUAGAUUUGAAUAGUACAUAAUGAAGCUGGUAUCGUAGACGCCCAACUUUCUGAGUAUUAUUGUUUUUUUAUUAUAUACGUUUUCAUCAAUUGACAAAAAACACAAGUGUAUUUCCAAGAAUUACCCAAACACUCACCACAAUACGAGCUCAUGAUAUUUUUUUUGUCAAUUUGAUUACAACAGACUAUGUUGUUUGCCAUUAAGACAUUCACCUAUCUAAAUGGCAAACAGCAUGGUUUAUUUUCGAUCAAUCACCUUUGUAAAUCCGCAUACAAAUAAAAUCUUAAGUUUAAUUGCACGAAAAAAA